GGAGUGUUUCGCAUUAGGUUCAGAUUGCCCUUAACGAAGCUAAACUUAGUGAAGAGAAGGUGAAGUCCGAAUGCCAUCGGGUUCAAGAGGAAAAUGCUAAGCUUAAGAAGAAGAGAGACCAGUUGCAGCAGGAAAUCAAAGACUUGAAUAAAUCCCACGCUGAACUCAGUGAGCAAAUCAAAUCAUUUGAGAAGUCUCAGAAAGAUUUGGAAGUAACUCUUACUCAAAAAGAUGAUAAUAUCAAUGCUUUGACGAAUUGUAUCACACAGUUGAAUCGGUUAGACUGUGAAUCUGAAUCUGAGCAUCAAAAUAAAACAGGAAAUGAAUCAGAUGAACUAGCAAACGGGGAAGUG